UGAGUAACCUGCCCUGGACUUUGGGAUAACCCUCGGAAACGACGUCUAAUACCGGAUACGACCUCCGAUGGCAUCAUCUGGAGGUGGAAAGCUCCGACGGUCAAGGAUGGGCUCGCGGCCUAUCAGCUUGUUGGUGAGGUAACGGCUCACCAAGGCUUCGACGGGUAGCCGGCCUGAGAGGGCGACCGGCCACACUGGGACUGAGAUACGGCCCAGACUCCUACGGGAGGCAG
rnacentral:rRNA from 1 species